GGCGAACGCUGGCGGCGUGCUUAACACAUGCAAGUCGAACGGAAAGGCCCUGCUUGCAGGGUACUCGAGUGGCGAACGGGUGAGUAACACGUGGGUGAUCUGCCCUGCACUUCGGGAUAAGCCUGGGAAACUGGGUCUAAUACCGGAUAGGAGCCAUUUUUAGUGUGAUGGUUGGAAAGUUUUUUUCGGUGUAGGAUGAGCUCGCGGCCUAUCAGCUUGUUGGUGGGGUAAUGGCCUACCAAGGCGGCGACGGGUAGCCGGCCUGAGAGGGUGGACGGCCACAUUGGGACUGAGAUACGGCCCAGACUCCUACGGGAGGCAGCAGUGGGGAAUAUUGCACAAUGGGCGCAAGCCUGAUGCAGCGACGCCGCGUGGGGGAUGACGGCCUUCGGGUUGUAAACUCCUUUCGCUAGGGACGAAGCUUUUUGUGACGGUACCUAGAGAAGAAGCACCGGCUAACUACGUG
rnacentral:rRNA from 1 species